rnacentral:rRNA from 1 species
UACGGAGGAUCCGAGCGUUAUCCGGAAUUAUUGGGUUUAAAGGGUGCGUAGGCGGCCAUUUAAGUCAGCGGUGAAAUUUUGCAGCUUAACUGUAACAGUGCCGUUGAUACUGUUUGGCUAGGAUUUGGUUGUAGUGUGCGGAAUGUGUGGUGUAGCGGUGAAAUGCCUAGAGAUCACACAGAAUAUCGAUUGCGAAGGCAGCUCACAAAGCCAAGAUUGACGCUGAGGCACGAAAGUGUGGGGAUCAAACAGGAUUA